CGACGUGGACCGGCUGCACGACGGAUACGGAGGGUGACGGCGGCGGCGGCGCCGUGGGGAGGAGGAGAGGGGUUGGUUGGGGGUCCGGCCGUGGGGCGGGAGACCGAGAUGGCGGUGGAUUCCAUGGCGGGGUCGGGUUGGGGCGGAAAACAUGGCGGAAAAACAAGAUGGCGGCCUCAUGUUGUGUUGAGUCCUUCCAGUUGGGUUGGGGUUUCCCAGUUUGGGUUGGGCUCCUCCCAGUUUGGGUUGGGGUCCUCCCAGUUUGGGUUGGGGUCCUCCCAGUUUGGGUUGGGUUCCUCCCAGUUUGGGUUGGGUUCCUCCCAGUUUGGGUUGGGGUCCUCCCAGUUGGGUUGGGCUCCUCCCAGUUGGGUUGGGGGUCCGGCCGUGGGGCGGGAAACCAAGAUGGCGGCUUCCAUGGUGGGGUUGGGUUGGGGCGGAAAACAUGGCGGAAAAACAAGAUGGCGGCCUCGUGUUGUGUUGGAAUUGGGGUCUUCCCAGUUUGGGUUGGGGUCUUCCCAGUAUGGAUUGGGCUCCUCCCAGUUUGGGUUGGGCUCCUCCCAGUUUGGACUGGGCUCCUCCCAGUAUGGGAUCGUUCCGCCGGCUCCUUC
rnacentral:lncRNA from 1 species